rnacentral:rRNA from 1 species
UCUUCCCUCUGGCGGCGUGCCUAAUACAUGCAAGUCGAGCGAACAGACGAGAAGCUUGCUCCUCUGACGUUAGCGGCGGACGGGUGAGUAACACGUGGAUAACCUACCUAUAAGACUGGGAUAACUUCGGGAAACCGGAGCUAAUACCGGAUAAUAUAAUGAACCGCAUGGUUCAAUAGUGAAAGACGGUUUUGCUGUCACUUAUAGAUGGAUCCGCGCCGCAUUAGCUAGUUGGUAAGGUAACGGCUUACCAAGGCAACGAUGCGUAGCCGCCCUGAGAGGGUGAUCGGCCACACUGGAACUGAGACACGGUCCAGACUCCUACGGGAGGCAGCAGUAGGGAAUCUUCCGCAAUGGGCGAAAGCCUGACGGAGCAACGCCGCGUGAGUGAUGAAGGUCUUCGGAUCGUAAAACUCUGUUAUUAGGGAAGAACAAAUGUGUAAGUAACUAUGCACGUCUUGACGGUACCUAAUCAGAAAGCCACGGCUAACUACGUG